rnacentral:rRNA from 1 species
UACGUAGGGGGCAAGCGUUGUCCGGAUUCAUUGGGCGUAAAGAGCUCGUAGGCGGCUCGGUAAGUCGGGUGUGAAACCCCCAGGCUCAACCUGGGGACGCCACCCGAUACUGCUGUGGCUAGAGUCCAGUAGGGAGUGUGGAAUUCCCGGUGUAGCGGUGAAAUGCGCAGAUAUCGGGAGGAACACCAGCGGCGAAGGCGGCACUCUGGGCUGGAACUGACGCUGAGGAGCGAAAGCGUGGGUAGCAAACAGG